AACAAAUCGCUUUCAUUGCAAUUUGUUGUUCUGCUUUUGCAGUCUUGUGGUGAGAUGUGCACCUCACACAUUGACUGUCAGAAUGUGCCACGCCAUCAUGUGCCGCAGUUUUGCAUGCAGGAAACACUUGUGUGCGAGGCAGGCUUUCCUUUUCAUGUUAUUUGAGAGGCAACCGAGCAGAGCUGAGCCCUUUCCUGUGUGUUAUUUUUGCCUAACAAUACAGCCUGGGGGCAGUCAGUUGGUCUUUUC
rnacentral:lncRNA from 1 species